rnacentral:snRNA from 11 species
GGAUCUGAGGGCAAUCUGACUGCAACAUCUCUUACCCCAUUGAUCACCAGGGUUGAUUCAGCUGACCUGGCUAGCUGGGUGGAUGUUCCCUUCCCCAUCGCUGCUCCAUAUGUAUUCCUACUGAAGCUGCACACUUAGUGGAAGAGGAUGGCUAUCCUAGCUAGAAGGAAUAUACAAUUUUAUCUGUGCCCACCUACUAUAACUUCUAAAAAAAGCUCAAGGCCUUGAUUU